rnacentral:rRNA from 2 species
GUGGGUAGUUUGACUGGGGCGGUCUCCUCCUAAAGAGUAACGGAGGAGCACGAAGGUUGGCUAAUCCUGGUCGGACAUCAGGAGGUUAGUGCAAUGGCAUAAGCCAGCUUGACUGCGAGCGUGACGGCGCGAGCAGGUGCGAAAGCAGGUCAUAGUGAUCCGGUGGUUCUGAAUGGAAGGGCCAUCGCUCAACGGAUAAAAGGUACUCCGGGGAUAACAGGCUGAUACCGCCCAAGAGUUCAUAUCGACGGCGGUGUUUGGCACCUCGAUGUCGGCUCAUCACAUCCUGGGGCUGAAGUAGGUCCCAAGGGUAUGGCUGUUCGCCAUUUAAAGUGGUACGCGAGCUGGGUUUAGAACGUCGUGAGACAGUUCGGUCCCUAUCUGCCGUGGGCGCUGGAAGAUUGAGGGGGGCUGCUCCUAGUACGAGAGGACCGGAGUGGACGCAUCACUGGUGUUCGGGUUGUCAUGCCAAUGGCACUGCCCGGUAGCUACAUGCGGAAGAGAUAAGUGCUGAAAGCAUCUAAGCACGAAACUUGCCCCGAGAUGAAUCUUCCCUGAGCCUUUAAGGCUCCUGAAGGAACGUUGAAGACGACGACGUUGAUAGGCCGGGUGUGUAAGCGCAGCGAUGCGUUGAGCUAACCGGUACUAAUGAACCGUGAGGCUUAACCUUACAAC